CCCUUAGAUGUCCUGGGCCGCACGCGCGCUACACUGACAUGUUCAACAAGCCUCCUAGUUCGACAGGAUUUGGGAAAUCUUUGAACGCAUGUCGUGAUAGGGAUAGAUCAUUGCAAUUAUUGAUCUUGAACGAGGAAUUCCUAGUAAACGCGAGUCAUCAGCUCGCAUUGAUUACGUCCCUGCCCUUUGUACACACCGCCCGUCGCACCUACCGAUUGAAUGUUUCGGUGAAGAUUCCGGAUAGGACUUUUUUGAUUUAUUUCAAUUCUGUCCUAAAAGCUAUCUAAACCUCAACAUUUAGAGGAAGGUGAAGUCGUAACA
rnacentral:rRNA from 1 species